rnacentral:rRNA from 1 species
UACGAGAGGGCCAAGCGUUGUCCGGAUUUAUUGGGCGUAAAGCGCUCGCAGGUGGUUCGUCGCGCCGUGCGUGAAAGACCCCGGCUCAACUGGGGGAGGUCGUGCGAUACGGGCGAACUGGAGGCCAGUAGGGGGAUGCGGAAUUCCGGGUGUAGUGGUGGAAUGCGUAGAGAUCCGGAGGAACACCAGCGGCGAAGGCGGCAUCCUGGACUGGUCCUGACACUCAUGAGCGAAAGCGUGGGGAGCGAUCCGG